rnacentral:lncRNA from 1 species
UCCUAGACGGGGGAGGGGCUGCUUCCUUCCGCGAAGACUGGUGUGUGGUUCUUGGAAGGGCUCCAGGUGCUUGAAAAGGCUGUCUCAGCGGGUGACAGGUGGGUGGAGGACCGGGCGGGGAGGCGCAGGUCCAGGGCCCUCCCUGCCCCCCUAUCCUCCACCGGGUGGGUCUCAAUAUCCCCCGUACACACGCGCACCGCCCCCCCCACAUCCCCCCUCCCACACCCCGGGAGACGUGUUGGUGGCUUUGAGGGCCAGUUGAGAGAGAAGCCACUGGGCUGGGCAGGAGCUGGGCCUGCUGGGCUCUGCCCGUCCUUGACCCUGGGCUCAGCCUGGCUUUGGGUUUGGACGUGAGGACGGACAGAAGAGGGACAGGAAAGCCCAGCAGCCGCUCUGACCUGAGCUGGCCCGAGGGACCAGGAAGAGUUUGUGAUGUGGCUCAAACUGCCUGGGCCACCCCAGCCCCACUUGGGGGGGUGGGCAGCAUCUCUGGGAGGCCCCGCCCUUCUCUGUGGGUGGGGAAGGACCACCCUCCUGGGCGGAUGGGAGAGAGUGUGCCCUACUCAGGACCCAUUCAAGAGCCUCACUGGGAGUUCCCAGCUCGGUGGGUUAAGGCUGGUCCCUCAUUUCCAGCAGAAAACUGUUUUCCUGGACUGUCUUUUUCUUGGCUUACGGAUUUGUGACUGCACUUUCCCAAGAAGUGUUGAAGCUCGGCUCACAUUUUUGUGUGGAGAACCAGCUAACCCCUUCCUCAAAGUUUUUGUGAGGAAAAGUAAUUUAAAUGUUUGAAAAAGAGUUGUAACCUGGUAAAGUGCCUCCGAAGGCUGCUGAGUGCCUCAGAGAGCAGGUACCGCGUGCUUGCUGCGUGUGGGUGUUCGGGCCAGGUACUUUGGGGUUAUGUGUGUCAACGUGACCUGGUCCCUACCUGCCAUCACCUGGGGGGGGGGCUGUGAACAAUUCCUGUCAGUGUUGAUAGGAGACAGUGAGACUGUGCCAUCAACGGUAGUCUCCGUGACCCUGGACCCUCAGAACAAGCCUGCGAAGUAGGUACUAUCAUAUUACCUUCUAUGAGUAUCCCCAUUUAACAGAUGAGAAACUGAGGCCCAGAGGGAUGAAGUAGCUUGUCCAGGAUCAAAUACAUAGCAAAUACUGGAACUGGGAUUUGCAGCUGGCAAUUGAGAAGGAGGCUGGAAUCCAGAGAAGAGGGUUCUGGAGUUCAGAGGGGAGUCCAGCUUCCCACGGGGGGUGGGGGGGGAGGAAGGUGACCUGGGGUGGGUGCAGGCCAGAGCGGGGAACGUGUUUCCUAGGCAGCCUGCAGGGAAGACUGAAAAUGCCCCAUGUUUGGGGGUGGGGGAGACGCUGAUGAGAGUCUGGGGAGCACAGGAGGGGCACAGGGAGAGGUGGAGAUGUGGCACUCAACUGGGGCUCCCGGGGACUUUUUUUUUGGCCACCCGCAGCAUAUGGAGUUCUGGGCCAGGGAUUAGAUCCCAGUUGCAGGUGCCACCUAGCCUGCAGCUGUGGCAAUGCCAGCUCCUUAAUCCACCGUGCCGGGCUGGGGUUCAAAUCUGCGUCCCAGUGCUCCUAAGACACUGCCGAUCCCAUUGCACCGCAGGGUUUGACUUUUAAUGCAGGGGUGACAGAUGGCUGGUCUGUCCACAUGCUGUCACAUGGGCAGCUCCUACGGGUCACCAGCACCCUUCCUCCGUUUCUUCAAGGGACAAAGCGACUUUGCUCUAGAGCAGAACACUGAUCGUCCCACACAUAUGUCCCUACUUUUGUUGCUGUCGCUGUGAGGUUUUUAAACUGGAGACCAUUUCACUUUCACACACCAACCACAAUGUCGAAUAAAUUGGUUGAACUUGUAGAUUUAUAUCCGCA